UUCUGAUGCAGCUGUAGAAAACAACUUCCAACCUUCUACAUGAAACCCAAAUAUUUCUUUUGGUGAGAGUUCAUAAACUUUUCAUAUGACAUGACUAGCAGAUGUGACCUUAUUGUAAUUUUUUCAUGACAGACUGAAUAAAAGUGCUUAAGAAAUUCUACAAACAUUUCAUAGUCCUGUGUUUUCUAUUCAUGAUUACUUGAAAAAAUUUUAAACUGUAUUUAAUAGAACUGAAAAUUUAACAGGCCAUUGUGAAGUGAAAUGAAAUACAAAAAAACAAAAAAAAUCAGCUACUUUAGGCACCAAACUUUGAACACAUCUAUCCCAUUUAAGAGUGGCUUUUCAUAAUUUCUAAUUCCCAUUGAAGUUUAAGACUUUCUUUAGACCUUUUUUUUACAGCUUCUUAUGGCAACGUAAAGCUCUUAUCAAAAACAAACUGGCAAGGCUAGGUAUCUAUAUUUUGAUUGAAAAAGUGAUUCUAGAAUGUGAGACUUCUGCUGGUGAUGUUGCUAAAGAAGCAAACUCCAUUAUUACCUCUAUUACUUCUCUCUCUCACAAAGCUGGAAGUAGGGAGACAUGGGGGAAAGCAGGCUGAUUGUGAUUGAUGGUUUCCCAUUAGGAAAUCUGUUAUCGCUCCAGCUGGGGGGAACGACUACUGAGUUGUAACACAACAUAUUACCAGAGUGUCUCUCCAAAGCCUCAGCGGAGAGCCACUGAAAUAAAAUAUAGACCCUCUCUCCAAGAUCCUCAUUUAAAGCUCAGCUUUAAUCUUGUCAUUGUUAUUUGGUGUGCAUUCCAAUUCAAUAGUCACAUGAUUCAUAUUAAACAUAACAUAUGCAAAAGAUAAGUUUGUCUUGCUCUGAUUGUGGAAAGAUUCAUCGUAGUUUGGGUCAAAUUUUCCAUUCUGAUACAUGUCAGAAUGAUUGAUUGGAUCCAGAAAAAACUGUCCUGCAUUACCACAACAAAUGACCUGACCCUUGCUAGGAGACCGUGGCCAGUAAAAAAGAUCAGUACUUAACCAUUAAAAUCAAUCAAAAGAGAGGUUGGACAUAGGCUGUCAGAGGUGAGACCCUCCAGCCACAUGGACAUUAAACCUGACAACUGCAGUGCAAGAGUAAUCAAUAUCUGGUGGUACACGGAUCAUUUGUGGUAAUCUGUUAAGCAGUGACAAAUGUCUUCUGGAGUAGCGUUUUAUGUUGUGACGCAAUUUAACAAGGUUUUAUUUCAGCUUAGACGGUCAUCUUAGACUUUAGGUAAACUAAAGUUGAACCAUUAUAGUUUCUAGCUGAGCUCAGGCUCAUUCUAUCUAACUGUAGUUGCUGAUAUGUUGUUUUCUGCUCAGCAACAUAAUUACUGCUGAGCAUGAUAAUUUAUGUGGCUAAAACAAACAUUACAUUUACAUCAACUUCUAAGUAACAUGGAAUAUCUAAUAUUAAAAUUAUUUGAAGGCACAGAAUCAGCCCAGUACCAGCCCACAUUCUUAGGUGAGGAUGAUCCAUCUGGUAUAAAUUACAUUUUUAGCUAUUAGAAUUAUACGUAAAAGAAGUUAAUUUAAUCAAAGUAUGUCAUGAAUAUGUGUGUAUGUAUUACAUCUUAAAUAGGGAUGCACCGAUUGGUGAGAAAUCUGGAAAAUCUAACUCUAACCCUAACCCCAUAAAUCCAUUCUGAUUUUGCCUGAUACCAAUUUUUUUUGUCUGAAAUAUCACUAAAUAUAGUAAGAAAGUCACUGAGUUGUGAACAGUGGAGGGACUAUUGUUAACUGCAACCGUGCAGAUGUGAUCUGGUGAGACGAUCUAUCAGUCAAACCUCUGAGUAGGGAAAUUUCUGUGGAUCAAGAGUGAGAGGCAAAUAAAACCAUAGAUUUUCACUAAAAUUAAAGGUGACCUACUAUGCUUCCUUUAACAGGUUACAAUAAGUUUAUAGGGUAUACCAACAAUGCACAAAUUCACUCUUGCAUUAUAAUAAUUUUAGGUUUGUUUGGAUUUGUUAGGGUUAUUGGGUCAAACAGCUACAGAGAGGAACAAACUACAAUUGACUAGGAACACCCUACUGCUGUAUUAUUGUCAUCCACUUAGUAGUAGUCUUUCCCCUAAAGUAUUAUUUUCACAAGAGAUCCACCAUCUUCAUCAAGGUCUAGGGCACAUCUAGUCUUUCCUUGAAAACCUUGUCUAAUCAGUUCCUCUCGGUAAUUUAAUCUGCAUCUCUGGCAGACAUUUUAGAAGCCAUCUGAUGUCACCACUGAGUCAACAAAAUCUUAGAGAUCCAUGAUUAAUUGUAACAAUAGACUUUAUUAGAGAAAUGUUUCUUUUAUAUGUAAAAACAAUACAGUAAUAACACUGUAGAUUGUUUUGUUCUUAUGAAUUGUAAUAAAAUAUUGUCAAGUGAAGUGAAGUCAAAGUUAUUUAUAUAGCACGUUUACAACAGCCUCAGCUGACCAGUGCUUCACAACAAACAUCACAGGUAGUUAAAUGAAAAAAUGGAUAUAAAAUUAAGUUUAGUAAAACUAAUAAGACAAGUAUAAAAUUGCCGAAAUGCUAAAAGCUAAUAGCAUGAAUAAAAACCAAACAUUUUUUUAAUUUAGCUGCAACAAUUAUCUUUUGUCCUUUACUUUUUCUCUUUAACUGAUCUGAAGGCCAGGGAGAAUAGAUGGGUUUUCAGGCUGGACUUAAACUGACCUGCUGACUGAGAAAGCUUAACAGACAGUGGAAGACUGUUCCACAGUCCGAGUGCCGCCACAGAGAAGGCUCUGCCCCCUCUAGUUUUUAGCCUAGCUUUAGGGACAGACAAUCAAAGCUGGUUAGUUGACUUUAGGGCUCUGGGUGGAGUGUAGGGCUGCAAGAGCUCACUGAAUUAAGAAGGGCCCAUGGAGUUUAAACACUAAAAGCAACAGGGAGCCAGUGAAGGGAGCGCAAAACCGGAGUAAUACAUUCAAGCCUCCUUGUUUUGGUCAGCAGACAGGCUGCAGCAUUUUGUACGCUCUGCAGUCGCUGCAGGGAGCUCUGGUCCAACCCUAAGUACAACGAGUUACAAUAAUCUAAACGUGAUGUAAUGAAUGCAUGGAUAGUCCUCUCAAAGACGGCAGAGGAAGAUUUUAUCUUAGCAAGGGUCCUCAGUUGAAAGAAACUGGCUUUGAUAACAGUGCUAAUAUACUUAUCAAAUUUAAACAAAGGAUCAACAAUCACACCCAGAUCUUUCACAAAUGGAUGACAAAAGGAAGACAGGGGACCACCUUUUGCUUGGACACUGUCAUGUCCAAGCAGAGAACUGCAUUGACCAAGCACUAAAAUCUGUUUUUCUUUCCUUAUUUAGGUUCAGAAAAUUUGCUCUUAACCAUGCCUGUACAUCCUGAAGACAAUACUGUAACACAUGUUCAGCAGACUGGCUGUCAUUUGUAGUUACAGGUACAUAGAUUUGAAUGUCGCCUGCAAAACAAUGAAAAGAGACUUUGUGCUUUUUAAAAAUACAACCCAGAUGCAGCAAAUACAAAGCAAAAAGAACAGGUACUAAAAUCGACUCCUGGGGAACUCCAUACUUAGAGGAGAAAAUGAGGAGGAAUGCUGUGGAGUUAAAAUAGUCUCAAAUAUCUGUGCAUGUGUAAAAAUAUUUGUGUGUGUGUAAUACUGGAUUUGUAACUCGUGUGUAACAUUGUGUGUAACUUUGGAUAGUUGUUUCUGUGAAACAUGAUUUGUAAACCGUAAAAAGAAAAUAAACCUUCUCCUAUGCCUACAAAUGUUGAAAAAGUACAUAUCCGGUUAUGAUGCAUGAGUAAUUUUAAGACCCAUUUCACGCUUCCAGAGCUCCCAGAUUUGUGUGUAGAUGGUGCGUUUACAUGCUAGUAGAAAGCUGGGUCAUCUGACUUUUGCUAAGUCUAGUGUUUUUAUCCUCUAAACGUUUCUCACUGUGCUUCAGCUGAAGUGGCAAAUACGUCAGUUUGGUGGAAAACGGUCAAUCUCACCACUUCCUUAUAAUAUUCCAAAAUUAUUUAUAGAUAUAUUGUGCAUUUUUGAGCAGUACAGGAGACCGUUAAAAGCUGUUUGCCGAAUAUUAAAGGACUGAACGAUAUACCAUGUUCUGUGUGUAAUGAUAAUUCUCACAUUGCACGUACACACUGCCGCCAGAAUAAUCUGUGCUUCUUCUGUCAUCUUCCUGGCCAUUCAGGUCGAAACUGCCGUCAGAAGGCAGCAGCAGGGAAACUGAAAGAUCUGCGUGGAGGGGAGGACAGCGCAGAUCGUCUUAGUGACACUCCCACCUUGGAUUUUUCUGAUGAUGGCUGUGAGACACUGUACAUUAAUUACAGCAGCAAAGUUUCACCACAAAAGACAUUGAUAGUGCAGGCCCCUCAGAGACUUUCAAAAACUGACAGCUUGUUUUACACAGAUGUGACUGUUGGAGGAAAGCAUUCUCUCAAAGCCUUGGUUGAUAGUGGAUCAAUGGCAUGCACCAUAAGUGAGGAGGCUGAAGCAAAACUUUCAAACUGUCUCACAGACCUGGAUAAGAAACCAGCUGCUGAUUUUGUCAUUGUUGGAUGUGGAGGUCAUGUCAUCACACCUUCUGCAUUGUAUGAACUCACUCUAAGAGUGUUUGACUUUAAUGUCAUAAUCCCUGUUUUAGUAGUUCCAGGCCAAACUGAUGAAAUGAUAUUGGGCAGUAAUACUAUCAGAUGGCUGAUUUCACAAAUGAAAAACUCCUUUGAUGAGACAACUAACUGUUCCUCUCAGAAAGGCAAUCACAAAGACAAUUUGCCCUGUUUAAUGUCUCUGCUGUCAGACUCGAUAUCCUGUGACCCAGGCAUGAAACCCAUCAAAGUGGGCACAAAAGGUCUGUUACUCUCCAGCCCCUCACUGAACAUUGAGUUUGGGCCAAACUGCCUACAUCUGGUGUUUCUUUAGUUGGAUGUUAAGUCAUUAUUGAACCAACCCAGUCCAAGUGCAGACCCAGACAAAUCCUAGUGGGGAGAGUUGGGGCGUCAUUGUAUGGUGACGGGUGUGUUCCUGUCAAGAUUGUAAAUCUAACUGACCUCUCACUCUGAGAAGAAAUGCAAUGGUUGCCGAUGUGUCCAGUUGUGUUUCUGUACAUGACUUUGCCAAACCUGAGUGUAUCCAAUCCAACACACAGUACACCAAAGACCCUGAAAAGACACCAGUAACUGACAAGGACAUGUCUCAUAUUCUGAGUGACAUUGGACUCCAGGACUUGGACCUCACAUCUUGUGAAGUCUCCCUUGAGUGGAAAAAUAAGUUAUUGCAAAUCAUUGAGCAGUAUGAAUACAUCUUUUCUCGGCAUAAAAUGGACGGUGGGGAUGCUACAGAUUUUGUGCACAGAAUACGACUUGUGGAUGACAAGCCCUUUAGACUACCAUACAGGGGUGUUCCGCCCUGCCAUUAUGAAAAACUGCGUACUGCUCUGAGUGAAAUGGAAGAGUUAGGAAUUAUUCGUAAAUCACAAAGCGAAUACUCCUCUCCUCUGGUUCUGGUUGUUAAGCCUAAUGAAGAUCUCUGCAUCUGCAAUGAUUUCAAAUGGCUGAAUGCCCAAACCGUUAAAUAUGCGCCUCCAUUGCCUCAUCAAACAGAUGCCCUCGCUGCACUUGGUGGGAAUGUAUUCUUUUCCACCAUGGACCUGACUUCAGGGUUCUAUAAUGUGAGGCUACACGAGGAUGACAAAAGGUUUACUGCCUUUUCAUCUCCAUUUGGCCUGCAUGAGUACAAUAGGAUGCCGCAAGGCUUGACCAAUAGCCCUGCAACUUUCAUGCGGAUGAUGAUGUCUAUUUUGGGGACCAAAAUUUCACUAGUUUGCUAUGUUAUUUGGAUGACCUGAAGAUCUUUGCCCCAUCUGAACAGGUUGUGCUUGAUCGGCUCCAGAUGGUUUUCUCUCAUCUGGCUGCAAAUAACUAAAAACAGUCUCCAAAAAAGUGUCACUUCCUUCGUAGGUCAGUGAAACUUUUGGGUCAUGUGAUAAGUGAGGACAGUGACAAACACUGAUCCUAGUAAGGUUCAGGCUAUCAGUGAAGUACAGGAAACUGAUCUCAUGGAGCCUGAUGGUGAGACACCAUGUGCCAGAAAAAUUAGAUCCUUUCUUGGGAUGGUUCUUUAUUAUCAUCACUUUAUUGGGAAGUGCUCUGUCAAGGCCAAAUCGCUCUUUAGCCUUGUAGCUGAGCCUGGAGCGACAAACAAAAACGGGCAAGGCAACAAGCCCAAAUUCAAAAAGGGUCAGGUUAAACUGUCCCCAUCUGACUGGACUGACAAGUGCCAGGAAGCAUUUAAAACUUUGAAAAACGAUUUGAUAAGUAGUGUUACCUUGGCUCAUCCGGAUUUCAAUGCUCCAUUCAUCCUUGUGGUUGAUGCCUCUUUAUGGCAUUGGAGCCGUUUUGUCACAGCUUCCUCCUGAUGGAAGUGUGGCUAGACCAGUGACUUUUGCCAGUAGGACUCUCUCACGCUCGCAGCUAAACUAUCCAGCACAUCGCUUGGAAUUUCUUCCUGAGACCCUGCAUCCUCAUAUGAGGACAUUACAUUUUUGCUGUUCUGCACCAUGACACUUAAUUUGUAAGAAUUUUGACCAAUUGCCCUCAUCUGGGGGCCCUGCCUGCACCACCUAGUGGUCUCAUAAUGAAAUUACACUCAUUUGAAAAAAAACAACAUGGUGGGGAUCACAGCGAAUGUCUUCUACAGCAGCUCCCGACAGAAACAUGGACAAGGGGGAAUGUCCUUUUUGAGAGCUGAACGAUUGCUAAAUGCAAUCGCAAAUGACUCUGAGAUUGAAGAUUUGUCAGAUGGUAAAGAGGAUGAUCCUGCUGUGGGUGAAAUCGCUCCAUGUGAAGCAACUGUGGAGCAACCUGAUGAUUCUGAUUCAGAUUAUCAACCUGAUGCUGCUGACAUAAGUGAAGAUACUGACAGUGAUGUGAGUGAGCCACAACAUAAACAACAGCAUCUUGAGAAUGAUGAACCUGACCAGGAUGUGCAAGGUCACAGGGCAGGACCAAGAAAUGGAAAUAGAGAGUACUGGAAGUCUGCUCCAUUCAACCCUGUCUUAGUCCCAUUUCAAGGAGCUGAUGAACAACAAGACGAGAGAGCAGAUAUGUUGCCGGUGCAGUACAUGGAACAGUACGUUGACAUAGAGCUGAUGAAAGUCCUUGCCGACUAUACAAAUUCUAUGUCAUUAGCUAAAAGUGGGAGAUCUCUCAACACAUCGGUUGAAGAGAUGUACCACUUUUUUGGAGCAUCCAUCUUGAUGUCCUUACCCACAAAUCCGCAUGUUCUGGUCCACUAAUCUGAGAGUCCCUGCCAUUAGUGACACAAUGAGACACGACCGAUUCUUCAAGCUGAGGAGCCAUCUGAAGGUGGUAAUUGAUGAUGACAUUCCUGAAGACAGGAAAACAGACAAAUUCUGGAAGGUGAAGCCUUUCAUAAAUCGCAUAUUCAAAGGCUGCCAUGCUCAGGCCCGACCAGAAUCCGUCUCACUAAGGAGCCAGAGAAUACCUGCCAGCGGUGGUCCAAGAAGGACAAAUGCUACUUAACCAUCAGACGACCAAAUAUUGUACAGGAGUACAAUGCAAAGAUAGGUGGGGUAGACUUAUCAGACAGAAUGAUGAGCUACUACAGGAUGAGUGUGCGAACAAAGAAGUGGACGAUUCGCAUGCUUAUGCACUUCAUGGAUCUUGCUCUGGCCAACAGCUGGCUGCUGUAUCGCAGAGAUCAUCAAGAACACGGUACCCCAAGAAAGGCUAUCAUGACGUUCCUCGCGUUCCGCAUGGAUGUGGCUCAGGUGUUCCUCAACAAGUGUGAUGUCACGCAUUCAGAGGAAGAGAGUGCAUGCUGUCCACAACCUGGCCAAAGAUCCCUGGUCACUCCAAUCCCCCACAUCUCAGCGCGCACAGCUUCUGCUGCUCAUCUGCCGGAAGUUGCUGAUCUCAAGAACCCGAUGUGUUGCAGACAACAAGGCUGCCCUGGGAAAUCCCGUGUACGCUGUCUGACAUGCAAUGUCUUCCUUUGCCUGCAAAGUCAGCGCAACUGCUAUGAAGACUUUCACGGAGGCCAGUAGGACUACUUGAAUACUUGAAUGUUUGUUUGAGUUUGCUAUGACACGUUCAUAAUGAUGCUCAUAAACGUUGCACUUUUCCAUGCAAAGCCUUUCGCAUAGGCAAGCAGGAAUACUUGAAUUAAUGACUGAGUUCGCUAUGACAUGUUCAUAAUGAAGUUCAUAAAGUUUGCACUUUUCCAUGCAAAAGCUGCACACUUUUAUCUGCGCUUUUAUGUUUGUUGACAGCAUAAAAUAAAGUUUUGUACUUUGUUAACCAAUGGUGUCUUCAUUGUGAAAGUCUGGACAGAAAGCAGCGUAAAUGUACAUACUGUGAAACACAGAUGUAAAUAAUAACAAUGAUUGAAUGGUCUUAUCGUCACACAGAUAGUCCCAAUGUCCUCACCUGAGGACAUUGGGUUUUGAGAUAACCACUUAUUGUAGAAAGCUAAAAUUUCAUUUUUAGGCUAAUUGGGUCCUUAUGAUCCCAAAUGACAAGGAAAAAAUGUAUAUGCAAAAACAGACCCAUUGUCCUCAUAUGAGGGCAUUGGUUUUGACAUAGUUCAAGAGCACAUAGAAAGCUAAAAUUUAAUUUCAACUAAAAUUAGGUCAUACUAAUCCCAAAUAGUAAGGAGACAUAAAAAAUGCACAUCAAACAAAAGCCCGGGUCUCAGGAGGUUAAAUGGGCAAUAUGCGACAAGUUUAGCCACUGGCUAACAGUGCAUCAUUUCACAGUCUGGACGGACAACAACCCAUUAACAUACACACUAACCAAGCCAAGAUUAGGUGCGUGUGAACAACGGUGCGUUUCCAGGCUCACUGCCUAUAGUUUUGAUCUGAACUAUGUUCUGUUAAGAAAAAUGAUUAUUUCUAAUGCUUUAAACAGUUAAUUUUAUGUCAUGUGUAAAAGGUAUCUUGAGCAUUCUAUGUUGUAUAAAUUUCUUAGUUUUAAACAGAUAUUCUGUGAAGAAUUUACAGGAAAUUAUCCACCAGAGUAAAUGUCAAAGGUCAGGAACUAGAUGCAGAUCAAAGGAGAUCUUUUAGGAUUGUUAUCAGGGCUCAGGAAGCCACGAAAUUAGCAUCUAUUGCAGGGCAGAAGCCUGUAUGGUUCACAGAACAUCAAAGGUUUUUUAGAACCACAUCUGGCAGGGUUUAAACUAAAAUGCAACAUAGAAUGUUGAGAUCACUAACAGUUUUCUAAGUAUUAAUAGCAAGUUUAUAAUUAAAGUGCAUUAUCUAAGUUUAGAAUGGUGAAUGCUGAAUGUAUUUGAAAAUUGUACUGUCUAUGAUAAUAUCUGAACCAAAUGGAAAUUGUUUCAAUGAAAAUGUGUUGUUUAGUAUUAGAAAACUGUUCAGGAUGUAUGUGAUAAGGCAAAGAUUCAAAUCUUUGGAGAGGCUCAAUGCAAAACUAGGUUUGUGAAGAUAAUCUUUCCUCAAACUAAAUUACUUAAUUUGGCCGGGAGGCACUCCGAAUUUCACAGGUAUCUGUUAGAGCCAGAAGACUAGGAUGCAGCUGCUUGCUCCAUUGUUCUUCUAGAGACCAAAUGGCCUUUGAUCUCUGGCGUGAAAUUAAGGGAAGGUCUAAGUUCCUCUGAGUGUCCAGGGGAGCUCCUGGUUGGUCGAACCAGGGGUACGCCUUAAUGAAUACAUUAACAAGGAGAGAAACGCCUCCACUAUAAAGAGAUUGAACACGAUAAUAAUGAUUUAGAUCGCUGUUAUUUCCUGCCGUUUUGGCCUCAGCCUUCUCCAAAGACAUGUCUUUGCUUUUUCUUUCUCUGUCUCUGUCUUUGUUUUAAUUCUUGUGUCUCAGGUAAUGAAUGUAUGUCUCUGUAACUCUGCAGUUUUCUUGUUAACUCAUAGCUUCUUGUUGUGAGAUUAAACGCUGUAACUCUGUGACGUCAUCACGCAUGUUGCUCCUGAUUGGCACACACUCCUCGCUGGAAGAACCCGGGAAAUAGGAAGAAAUAGAGAGCCAAGCUUUUUCCAAAUUAAGCUAACUUAGUACUAUUUCUUUCUUCAACAGUUCCUGGUAGCAAAAAUGUUGUCACUGAUGCCUUGAGUAGAGAACCAUUUAUUCAGUCAUGCAUGAGCCAUCGCAUUGUAACUGAACCACAUACCGCACUACUUAACCAGGUGAACGGUAUGUUGGACAAAAUGGUCCAAGAUGCAUUUCAUUGUAAGAACAACUGUCAGCUGGUUGUUGAGUGCACAGAUGACAAUGCCGAGGUGCCCUCACCGACUCCCCAGACAUUAACGUCACAAGAUGUGUCAGCUGUUCUUGAGGCACAUGAGUCUGGAGGUUUCAGUCAGAUGAGAGCCACUGAUCCAGCUGUCUUGCAACUCAGUGACAUUGAUCAAUCUGCCUUGAUGCCAAAGAGUGAACUUGCUCAUUUACAAGGUCAGGAUGUGUUGGGCAGACUUUUCUAUUAUAUGAAGCGUCACAGGAGACCCACCAGAUGUGAAUGAGCAAGUGAGUCACCUAGUGUUCUAAAUCUGCUGAGACAUUGGCCUAAGCUUGUCAUUAAAGAAGGCCUGAUGUACAGAGUUAAGAAAGACAAACAAAUGAACAUGACAACUUAACAGUUUAUUGUCCCAGACUCUUUAAAAGCCAAAGUCCUCCAAGGGGUGCAUGAUUCAGCACGUCAUCAGGGCCAGGCCCGCACACUCUCUCUCGCCAGACAGAGAUUCUUUUGGAUUGGGAUGGAACGUGACAUCAUUAACCAUGUGAAGUGCUGUUUUCGAUGUGUAGUUGGUAAAACUCCAGUACCUAGUGGCAGAGCUCCCCUUGAAGGUAUUCAUACCUCUGAGCCGAUGGAACUGGUCUGUAUUGACCUUUGGACAGUUGAGCUCUUGGAUAAGCGCUCUGUGGAUGUCCUAGUUGUAACAGACCACUUUUCCAAGAUGGCACAUGCGUUUCCAUGCAAAAAUCAUUCAGCCAAACAAGUUGCUCCUCGUCUGUGGGAUGACUUCUUUUGGAUAUAUGGUUUUCCUAAACGCAUUCAUUCAGAUCAAGGAGCUAAUUUCAAAAGUCUUCUCAUCAAAGAACUGCUGGACAUGGCUGGCAUACAAAAAUCUCACACCACACCGUAACACCCGAUGGGGAAGGGCAUUGUUGAACGUUACAACUUUCUCACUGCUGCUGCCGUUUCUGAUGAUGCGGACCAUUCUCUUUGCCCUUCCACCGCAGGAAGUGGACUCUAUGACCCUGUUGUGCCUGAUGAAGUACAGGACAAUGAAACUAAAACUGUGAACUGGCUUUUGCAGAUGGAGGACAAUACUUGUGUGGAUGAAGUUGUAAAUCACCCUGACUGUGCUUCUGACAUUCCAGUCUGUGGUUCUUCAGUGGACAUUGUGUUUCCUGUCUCAAGUGAUGUGACCAAGGAUUUGCCUGAACCUGAUCUCCCUGAAUCUGUUGCACUGUCAAACUCUCCUGAACCAGGUUCCAACCGUACAACUCCAGUUGUCCACUCUGACCUCAUUCAGCAUGAUCUUUCAGCUGAACAUAGUUCUGACAUGAAACUGGACUUGCCCAUAACUGAUGUUGUUUGCACUCAGCCAUCUAGGCUAUGCACUAGAUCGGGUAGGCCUGUUAAGACUCCAGCCAGACUUAUAUGUGAAAUGAAUGGGGUAUUAUGGGUAAUACUCAGAGCCAUGAGGAUCACUGUCGAGGUAACGUGUCUCUGCAAUGUGAUAUCCAUCCAUCCAUCCAUCCAUUUUAUGUUCACCCUUGUCCCUAAUGGGGUCAUGAGAGUUGCUGGUUCCUCUCCAGCUACGUUCCGGGUGAGAGGCGGGGUCACCCUGGACAGGUCACCAGUCUGUCGCAGUGCAAUCUGAUAAAGAAAUAUUAUUUAUGAAAUAUGUUUAUGGUUUUCGUUUUUGCAUAUUAUUGAAAUAUGUUUUAUCUAGGUAACACUGUUCUGCUAUUAUAUCAUUUUUGCUGCGAUUUACAAAUGUUUAGUUCGUGAGAAAGUGUGGUGGGAAUUUCCCACAUGUUAACAUGGCUCCUCCUUGCAGGACCUUGUUUUAUGUUAGAGACUGACUUACCUCGAUGCCCAUGUGUGAAAUGCAGGUAUGUUUUACUAAACCUCUUCUAGCAGAUGGUUAAUAUAAGGCUGAGUUUUAUUUUAACAGUUUUUUAUGAAGAUACGGUUCAUUUAUGUUUUGCAUUGUUCCAAGAUGCAAGUUUAUAUAAACUAAAAUAUAAAAAUGGCAUCCAGUAAAUAAAAUGGCAGCAUUUUAUUUUAUUUUUCAGAGCAUUUUAGUUAAUUGCUUUACUUUCUUUAAAAAGGACAUUUGCUGGUUGUUCCUUUAGUGUAAACUAAAUCCACUAUGCAAUCACUGUAAUUUUCAAUGAUUUUAUUUUGUUUACUGUAUUAUGGGUAAUCCUCAGAGCCACGAGGAUCACUGACAAGGAGCUUGUUUUAUGCUAGAGACUGACUUUGCCUCAAUACCCAUGUGUGAAAUGCAAAUGGAGAAUUAAAAAAAACAACUG